GCUCAAACUUUAGCACUUUCCUGUUCAGCCACUUAGGGUAAGUGCUACACUGUUUGGGUAG
rnacentral:pre_miRNA from 1 species